UACAGAGGGGGCAAGCGUUGUUCGGAAUUACUGGGCGUAAAGGGCGCGUAGGCGGCCGCCUAAGUCAGACGUGAAAUCCCUCGGCUCAACCGGGGAACUGCGUCUGAUACUGGGUGGCUUGAAUCCGGGAGAGGGAUGCGGAAUUCCAGGUGUAGCGGUGAAAUGCGUAGAUAUCUGGAGGAACACCAAUGGCGAAGGCAGCACUCUGGGACGUGACUGACGCUGAGACGCGAAGGCCAGGGGAGCAAACGGG
rnacentral:rRNA from 1 species